CGUCCUGCUGAUGAACCAGGCACUGAGCCAGCCUCUCCCAAGCCCUGAGAGUGACAGGAACAGUCCAUCCACCCGAGGAGAGGUUGUGAGUGUCAGGCUUCAUCUGGUCGUGAAAUGGUUAAUGAAUAUAUGCUGCUUAAUUCCAAGCUAUAGUUAAAAUGGCAGCUCUCAGCAGAGCACACAGCAGAUGCAGGUGGUGCUGGCUUCUGUGGCUUCUUCUGACACAGGUUGUCCUGUCUUCUAGCAGAUAAAACACAGGACAGAAUGUCAUGGGGAGGAGAUGAGACAAGACCCUAAAACCAUCAAGUACAGCACGACACCGUCUCUGCCUUGACUACUGCAUGUACCCCCAUCUGUGACAGAUGUGUUAGACCCCUCUUCCUCCCAAUCCCCCAUACAAACCCCUGCCUUUUGUCUGUUGAACACUGAUGGGCCUCUCACCCUCAGGCCACCUCCACCCUGGUGAAUAACAUCUGUGCCUCUUUGCUUUCCACUAGCCCACUCAGGUGGUCUCAUAUCUCUGUCAUUUGUCACAGUGGGGACUCCACUUUAUAGCCAGCUGGGGUGACGGCCACAUUGGGACAGAGCCCCCACCUGUGGGCGGUGUGGUCUACAGGUCUAGAUGCACUGGUGCUCAGAGCCUGUGGUGACACAGAUUGACUGAGCCUGAAUCUGUCCGUGUGGUCCACUUCUGAGUCUCACCCUGGGGCCAAGGACCAGAAAAGUUCCUAAAGCUCAGCUGGCCACCAACACCCCCGGGUUCUUUACGUGUACUCCUCUGUCUUCCCCACUAAGCACACGGCCAUUUUCCCUGGAUACCACUGCUCCUCGGAAACCUCGCUUGUGGUGAUGGGCUGCCACAGAAGUCAGGUACGCGGAGGGACACCACAGACUUCUGCUGAGGAGCAAGAAGCAGAGGACCAAAUGAGUG
rnacentral:lncRNA from 1 species